GCCGGUGUUAUUGCCAUUGGGCUUCGUGGAUUCCAAUCGAAUCACAACUAUUCCGCUAUUGGUCUGUAGUGCUGUCGGUGUAUUGCACAAGCGAUCGACUGUCCAAACGUCAUAUCUAAUUUUCCCGAAGUUGCCAUUUUCAAUAGGGUACAGACAUUGUCAAUUUCGCGUGCCUCGCUAUCAUUGGUUCGUGGCUCGACGGCAAAUCUGUAUCUGUCUCAUUCUGGAACAUUUUCCUAAAGCGUCAACGUAAGUAACCGUUCUCAAUGUCAAGAAUGGAGACUGGGUUUUUCGUGUAGCAAGAUGGCCCUCUGCAGGAUGUUAUGGUAACACGCUACACUACAUGAAUAAACAGCAUAGAACCAUUGUGAAAUACAUACAAUGAUAUUGUGAAAUAGCCUACCUAUAUCCAGUCAGAAGUGUGAACAACCAAACAGAUCAGAUAGCCUACAGAUAAGGCUUGUGUAGGCUCUUUGUAGCUGAAAGAAAUCUAGCACAUUACACUGUUCGCUUGGUCAUAAAAGAAUAUUAUUAGAGUCAUGCAUAAUGUUACAAUAAUUUUUCAGGUUGUGCAUAUCCAUGAUACAAUAUUUCAAUAAAUUGUUGAAUUACA